rnacentral:rRNA from 1 species
GACGAACGCUGGCGGCGCGCUUAACACAUGCAAGUCGAGCGAAGCGGCGGACGGGUGAUUAACCCGUGAGUAACCUGCCUUAGACAUUUGCAUAGCCUCGGGAAACCGGGAUUAAUACCAAAUGGUCUAAGAUGGACUCGCGUCCCAUUAGCAAGUUGGUGAGGUAACGGCCCACCGAGGCGCCGAUGGGUAGCCGGCCUGGGAAGGGGAACGGCGACAAUGGAACUAGGAAACGGUCCAGACUGUAUGGGAGGCAGCAGUGGGGAAUAUUGCACAAUGGAGUGAACGCUGAGGCAGAGACGCGGCGGGAACGAAGAAGGCUUUCGAGACGUAAAGUGCUUUUAUAUGGGAAGCGGUACCAUAAGAAAAAGCCCCGGCUAACUACGUGCCAGCAGCCGCGGUAAUAC